rnacentral:lncRNA from 1 species
UCCGGUAUAUUGACACAUUAACUUUUUGGUACAAGCUAUAUACAUGAUAUAUAUAAAGAGUCGGUUACAGAGGCGGAUUUAAGGGGAGGGGGCAGGGGACAGAGAAAUAGAGUGGUUGCUUAUAUAGGGAAUCACUGAAGUGUGACAUUUCGGUCCCCUCUUUGGCAGCCAGUGGGCCUGGAUCCGCCACUGGGUUAUCCUACAGUUUUUGAGAUACAGCAAAACUGUUCUUUUAU